CGCCGUGACGUCAUCGGCGUUGCAGCGGACGCGACACUGGGAACCCGGAAGUGGCCUGGAAGGCCGGAGAGGAGUAGUGUUUUGCUGCGAGUCCACGAAUAAUUAGAAAAGUUUUAUUGUCUUUGUGAUGACAUUUAAUGUUGCGCUGGCUGAGUGCCUGUCUCAAACGAGCGGCUGUCCACUCGGAUUUGUUUGGAGUUGUGGGACUGUCACUACACAGGACAGUAGCGGAGGCUUCGCCUGCCGUUCGAGCGCCUGGAUUUCGAACGGGUCCGGGAGAGGCGAACAGGACGGGCGACAUCCCCCGAAUCUUAGCCAGAGGCUACUGGAAGGUGAGGGCGCCGGGAACGUGGAUUGCUGACAGCCGAGGUUGCCGAUGGACAUUAGGAGAUGGAGAGGACUCCGAAACUGCAGGAGUUUCCUGAUUAUCUUGAGGUUACCUCACGUUUCCUUCUCCUGGCUCCCAAUCACUGGACAGGAAAUGAUGGAAGAAGCAGUUCAAAGUGUUGGGCAGGAGCUGCAAGGCAUGAGGUCUCCUGAAAAAGAAGAAAAUCAUUGCCUCCCUGUAUACCAUCUCAAUGUAAACAUUUAGAUUCUUUUAUCAUCCUCGUCUCUCGGUCACUGUCUUUUCCUGCCUCUCUCCAGUUUCUCCAUCCUUCUGCCUACCUCUUGAAAACCUCCCACCAUCCAUCUCUCUCCCAUCUCCUUGUCCCUCUCUGCCUUCAUCCACAUACCUCCAUCCCUCCUUUCUCUGUGUCAGUUUUCAUGCUUCCUCCAUGCCUUCGUCUAUCUCUCCCGCUGUUUGCUUUUAACUCUUGAGGUCAUCCGGGACCCCUGGGCAGCUAUCCCAGAAUGCUGAGACGGCUAACAUCCUGUGGAGUUGCCUUCUGGACAGAGUGGACAACUGAGCCAGGACUCGAUCGGUGCUCGGACUCAACCAUGUAUUCAGCCACUUCUACACCCAGAGAAAAGAGUCUUCAAAGGGUCUUUGGUUAGGGUGGUGGUUCUAUAUCAUAUUGUGGUAACUACAGCAAACCUUAGAUUGUUAAAUGUACUACGUGUAGCACUGUAACAUCAAUAAAUCAUAACCACCUUCA